rnacentral:ribozyme from 1 species
UACCCAGCAACUCCUAUCCCUACCUCCUCGUGGUACUGGCCGGGGUACGAGUAACCUGUGAUGGUGAAACUGCACCCAAAAGUGUUCG